ACUUAAGCAUAUCAAUAAGCGGAGGAAAAGAAACCAACAGGGAUUGCCUCAGUAACGGCGAGUGAAGCGGCAACAGCUCAAAUUUGAAAUCUGACCCCUUCGGGGCCCGAGUUGUAAUUUGUAGAGGAUGCUUCGGGUGCGGCGCCGGUCUAAGUUCCUUGGAACAGGACGUCAUAGAGGGUGAGAAUCCCGUAUGCGACCGGCGGCCAACCCCGUGUGAAGCCCCUUCGACGAGUCGAGUUGUUUGGGAAUGCAGCUCAAAAUGGGUGGUAAAUUUCAUCUAAAGCUAAAUACCGGCCAGAGACCGAUAGCGCACAAGUAGAGUGAUCGAAAGAUGAAAAGCACUUUGGAAAGAGAGUCAAACAGUACGUGAAAUUGUUGAAAGGGAAGCGCUUGCAACCAGACCUGCCCGCGGGCGAUCAGCCGUUAUUCUUAGCGGUGCACUCGUCCGCGAUCAGGCCAGCAUCGGUUCGAGCGGCCGGAUAAAGGCCUCGGGAAUGUAGCUCCCCCCGGGGAGUCUUAUAGCCCGGGGUGCAAUGCGGCCAGCCCGGACCGAGGACCGCGCUUCGGCUAGGAUGCUGGCGUAAUGGUUGUAAGCGACCCGUCUUGAAACACGGACC
rnacentral:rRNA from 1 species